UUUUUUUGGAUUUUAUCCAUUCAAUAAUUAAAAUUUUAGAUUAAAACUAAUUAAUUUAAUUGGGUGAGUUGUCUAUUUAAAUAUAUAUAUAUUUCUUAUGAAGAAAUCAGGAAACUCCAAUCGGUGUAGCAAACGUUGAGGAAUUGAAUUUAGAAAAGGUUGAAUUGACGAUGAUGAAGGCUUCUGCCGAUUAACUUGACUUUUGAGACACCCAUUGUAAAUCAUCAUCUAUCCAUCCAAGACUCCAAUCCUUGUAUCACGUGGACGAAAAUGGUGCUUUACCAAGCGUGUAUUAAUCCUAUCCACAUUCGCAGUUGAAGACACCAUGUAGUGCAAGUAAACACAUGGAUUAUAGGCCUUGCAAGAAAUUGAAUUCAUUAUUCUUGCUUUUAAUGAAUAUACUUGCUGCAUUAUGACAGUUGCUAAUGUACAACUAAUGUUCUAUAUAUCAUGCUUUUGUCAAAGGAGAAGAAAUUUUUGAAGGCCCAAAAACUGAUCUUGCAUAUGCAAUUGGCAAAGAAGCUAUCUUCUUGGCUUUGCUUACAUAAGCUCUCUUUGUGAAGUUGUUGUAAUCAUUUGCUUCUAUCUCGUCUAGUAUUCGCCGGUAUAACAGUAAGGAUGCCCAUACCGGCCAUCUACUUGCAGCGCUGAGCUCUGUCACUCCUUUCUCUGCCUCGUUAAAGAACAUCCUUGCUCUCUUAAUUUGGUCCUUCAUGAAAUUUCUCCACUUAUCUGUCACUUUUCCAGCAAAUAUGUCAUCAUCUGAAAGCCCUGCCUGUGCCAGCUCAUCCUGUGGUAAAUAAAUCCUUCCUCUUCUUGCAUCCUCUCCAACAUCCCUUAGUAUGUUGGUCAGCUGAUUUGCUAUUCCUAACGCCAAAGCAGCAUUAUAGACACUCUCUGUUGAUGCCUGUGAUUCAGGUGCAAUGCCCAUGACAGGAACGCUCAUUAAUCCAACCGUCCCAGCAACAUAAUAACAGUAAAGAUAAAGCUCGUCAAAGUUCUGAUAUCUUGACUUCUUCAGGUCCAUCCUCAUUCCUUCUAUCAUAUCUUUGAAUGGCUGAAUAUCAACUGGAAAUUUUGUAACUGUAUCUGAUAAAGCAGCAUCAAGCAUAUCAAAAGGACGACCUCGGAAAAGAUCUUCCAACCUUGUCUCCCAUCUAUCUAAAGCUGUUGGCGUUAUGUGUGAAGCAUUAGGCCCAUCAACAAGUUCAUCUGUCCUUCUACACCACACUACAUGUGCAGGGAACAUCACAAGAAAAAAAAAUAUAUAGUUUUUUCUUUCCUUUAUUUAUUUAUUUAUGUACUUUUUAAGAUGGAAUGCUCAUUUAAGUGGACUCCAUUCUAUUUCACCAAUUAGGCUUUCAUUAAAGCCUAAGGUACUAAAUGCCAGUACCUCAUACAUGAUAAGAUCCACCUCUGUGAUUUCAAUGAGCUUGCUCAGGAAUCCUGAGACCAAAUCUCAACUUUAUAAAGGUCAGCAAAGAAGCAAACAAGAGGAAUGGUAGAAGGCUAUCCCCCACAACACCUCCCCACCCCAGAGGGAGUGGGGUUCCACAGUGCAGCUAUGAAUUGAAGGGAAAAUAAAAUCAAAUUUUGGUAACAAAAUUUAAAUUUGAAACACUGUUCUUGCAUAGAGGCACUAAAACCUUCAUAAAUUAUUUACAUUACAAAAGAAAAGUGCAAGUCAUAAAUUCCAAAAGCUACUAACAAGCUUUAUAUUACUAAAUCCUUUUUUUUUUAUUUCCAGAUUAUUUACCAGUUUUAUUUGAUUUGAUUUGAUUUGAUUUAUUUAUUUAUUUAAAUUUCUAACCCAUUUCAUAGUUCAAACCUUGUAAUAUUGAGUUGGAUUAGAAUCAUCCUAUCCACCUUCUCAAUUCCCUUUCAUUGGUGUAAUUAUGUGCAAUUGCUUCAAUUUCAUAAGUAAAAUGGAUUAGAAUCAAAUAUCUAACUCACCGUAUAUUGCCCAGAUAGCUCUUCUCCUUUCAGGGGUCAUUAGCAGAGUUCCCAAGUAAAAUGUCUUGGCAUACUCAGCACAAACUUCCCCACAGCGUUCGUAAGCUUCACUCAACAAGCUCAAAGUCCCUCGAAGCACGAUAUCUGGUUUCACAUCGAGAUCCUCACUUGACCUUAAUUGCUUUUUAACCAAGGCUGCUUGCUUCAGCACCACAUUGUAUACCUUCUCCUCAGAGGAGAUGGCCAUUUCUCCUGCGUGACUCGCUACCAUGCUCGAUAUUAUAGGUAAUUUGUUUCCAAUACCUAUGCAAGGAUUCCUCAAAUCUAUAUUCACCAAGCCUGACUUCCAUUUCUGGUUCCCACUCUUUUUUGCUCUCCUCUUAAACAUCAAACUCCGAUCUACAGAACCGAACUUGGAUGAAUCUAAAACGCGGACCGAAUGGAAGAAUGCAAACGAGUUGGAAACCUCUGUAUUGGGAGAGGCAACCCAUAGUAAUGCUACAGUCAUGUUCAAAAGCAGAUUUCUUGGCUAUCUGUAUGUCUGUUGUUGAUAAUUUCCCUCCUAAAAUCUUAAUUUACCAAAUAAAAAAAAAAUCAAACUAUAUCCUUUUUGAAGAUAACCCACUUCGCCUUUUAGAGACAAAGAUCGAAAAGGAAACCAACUUUGUCCAUACAAAACCAACUUAAAUCAAUUCUCAAGGGGAUUCAACAGCAAAGGGAGCUCUGUUUAAGCUCUCUGUAAAUGAACCAAAACCAUAGUUAGGCCACAGACAAUUCGAGAGAGAGAGAGAGAGCCUCAAAAAUAACUACCACUAGCACUAGAGCCAAAAAUAAAGCAAGAAGAAGAAUUCAUAUGACAGGAUCUCUAAAGAAAUUAGCGUUUCAGUUCUUUUAGCAAUAAAAAAAAAAAAAGAAAGAAAAAGAUAACCCAAAACCAUUGAAGCCCGCCUAUUGCACAAGAUUUAGACAAAGAAAUUGGCAGCCAUUUAAGAUUGAAAGUUUUCCUUGUGCAAAAAGCACUGGAAUCCCAAAAAAGAGAAACUAUAGUUGUCACAAGUAACAUCCACUCUUGUUUCCUAUUAUACUUUCAAUUACACUGUUGGCAUUUCUAGCAGGUUUUUCAGUGAACUUUGGAUAUGAUAGCUUUAUUUGUGUGUCUAUUUAUGGAAGCUCAUUCUAGGAUUGCCACGAGAAGAUUCCUUGCAUAUUGUGGGUCAAACUAUAUGUGAUUUUACUAAUUGCAAUUCACCAGGAAAAAAAAAAUCAGCAAAAUUGUGUUCUUCCUUUCAGGAUCAGAAAAUAGAUGAAGAAUUUGAAUUGCUUGUACUUGCAAGUGAUGGACUAUGGGAUGUGGUACCCAAUGAGGUAUGCAUGCCAACACCACAAUUCCACACACACCACACCACACAACACCCACCCACCCCCCCCUUCUCUCUCUAAGAUGAGCAUUGUGCACGCAUGCCCAUGAAAAACCACAGGCUGAAAGGCACUUCUGAGGAAUGAUCUAAAUGAGACAUGAGAUUUUGAUCAUUAUAAGGAUAUAUGCCUGGUUGGUUUAUGGGGUCAAGAUUCCAAUUGUUGGAUUAUAUUUUAUUGAUGUAGUCCUGCAGUUGGUCUGCCAUCUAUACGAUUGAGUUGAUUUCCUGGAAAUGAUUUUUUUUCCCCCUUCGGAUUGAAUCAACAGAGGGUUGUUUGUAACUUUUUAGACUUUUCCUUAAUCUGUUUGCUGAGUAGGCGUGCAUUAUGUCUAGGAUGCGGUUUCAAUUGCUCAAACAGAAGAAGAACCUGAGGCGGCAGCCAGAAAAUUAACAGAAGCUGCUUUUACGCGUGGCAGUGCAGACAACAUAACAUGCAUUGUGGUGAGAUUCCAUCAUGACAAGGCAGAUAAAGGCAAUGCCCAGAGUAAUUAGAAAUUGCUAUUUAUGUUAGCAUGUGUAGAUUUAUUGAUGCUUUACGCAAAUCUAGUUUUGCUAUCUGUGCAUGCAUGAUAGUUGAAUGUGCAUAUGGUGGAGUCCAUUUGUUUAUUCAUUGUUUAGUUUCUUAACAAGAGCAUGGACUUGGGUGCUCUCUUCUAUUCUAGAGCCUUCCAUACAGCUGUGUGUCUACUGCCUACCUUCCAGGCUUUAAUUUUCAUCUAAUAAAGGUAUUUCGUGCCUCUUUCCUUCACUUUGCUCAUUGAGGUUAAACCAUGGUCAAUUUAACGAGUCUAG
rnacentral:misc_RNA from 1 species